UGGGUUGUAGCUCAAUGGUAGAGCACUUUCAUCUGUGAGGCCCAGGGUUCAAUUCCCUGUACUGCAA
rnacentral:tRNA from 1 species